GAACUAAUGACUCUAUCCAACAUGCUCAGUUAAACAUGUGACUUGUUGAUAUCAGACUGUUGAGUUAACAUUAUAAAAAUUACCAAUGAAAGGGAUGAACAGAUAUUUCCUCAAUUUAGUUAAAUAAUCAUGGCUUAUACAAUCAAGGUGAACCAGAGAGUCAAAGAGUUGUCCUUUGGCAGUUCCUAUUCAACAGAUUUAUCAAAAAGAAACAGCUGAUGGUUAAUCUACAUUUAGUGCCAAGGAUUGAUUUAACUUACCAGCAAAAUUGUGUUUAAAGAAGUUAACCAGAAAAGUACCUUUAUCUGCAUAGAAACGGAACAAUGAUUGAUGACCAAUGGAAGCAGGAUCAAUCAAGGGUAUCCUGAAAAUGCCAAGUGAUUCAAGUGGAAAAUCGGUUGAUUUUGUGUGAUUAAGCUCACAUUGGGAAAACUGUUGUUCGGUUAUUUGUUUUAGGAAAAAAUGGCCUAUCAAAAGACCAUCGACAGUUGAUAUUGGUUCAUCUUCUCCUACAACUCCACCAGGAAAACCAAGGAAUCCAUCAUAGCGAACCUGACCAAGACCAAAAUAACCUGAAUCACCGUGAUCCGAUAUUUUACAAUACAGUAAACAAUGAGCUGCGUGACAAUAUUGCCUUUUAUCUGUUAAUUUAAGCGUUUCUUCCAAGCAUAUUGGCUCGAAUCCCAUCUUGGUGCAUAAUGGAUUAAUUGAUUCCUUUAAACGUUCCUUUUCAAUCGAAUCAAUCAUUUUCUCGAAAAAUUGAUUUCUAAAUGUCCAAUAUUUCACUAUAAUUUUAGGAAAAAAACUCAACUUAUUUUUGUGCAAAUUUUAACUCUUUAAACUAACAAUAAAGAUAUAUUGUUGUUAAAAUUUGCAUUAAAGAAGUAUUGAUUCGAAACAAUAAUCUUAUUGCAUUGUUAUAAUUUAAUUGUUACCGCAAUAGUAAAGCAAAUAGUUGUUAAUAGGUUUUUAAAAUCAAUUAUUGCCAUUUUAACAUUGAAUCACUGAAAAGACUGUAAUCAAAUGAGAGAUUAAUCUAUACAUCAGUGCCUGAUAUUUUGCAGACUCUGAAGUACUCAAUUUUCUAUCUGCAAUUCCAAAUGAUGAACAUAAUAAAAUUAUCCGUUGAAA